UGCGGGUUGAGCGGGAGGCGCGAGGGCUCCGGGCGCUGCCUCCCCGCCCUGGGUCCCCGGCCGGAGCCGGUUCCGAGGAAGGGAGAGGGAGCCGGAGUCCCACGACGGAGGGGUCUGGUCCCGUAGGAAGCCUCGCUUCAUCUCCUCGCGUGUCUGGCUCUGCGCGCUCGGCCUUGCGCCUCGGGCUGUUUCCCUCCGCGUCCGCCGUGCUUUGCUGUUUGCGGGUCUCGGGCGCGGGAGGCCGAUCGGGGCGCCGCUGAGGACCCCCAAGCUCCGGCCUCUGCGUCCCUGCUUUGGCGCGGGAGGGGGCGCCUGGUGCCGGUCCUGGUGCUCCCCGGCCCGGGGACCGACCCCCCGGCCUUGUCCCACCCCCAGGUAACGGGGAGGAUGACCACGCUCACGCGACAGGACCUCAACUUUGGCCAAGUGGUGGCGGACGUGUUGUGCGAGUUCCUGGAGGUGGCCGUGCACCUCAUCCUCUACGUGCGUGAGGUGUACCCGGUGGGCAUCUUCCAGAAGCGCAAGAAGUACAACGUGCCGGUCCAGUGACCUGGCUGCGAGGGAACCAAGUGGCUCCUUUGGAGGGGUUAAAGGAACUCCAGCAACCGGUGGACCUGGAGGCAGGCCCGGGGCUGUUGCAGGUUUCUGGUACCUUCUCUCUCCCCUCGUUGACUCAGAACUCUGAGAGGCUGUUGAAGGUUCAAGGCAGGCCAGCAGUAAGCACCUGUUCCACUGAAGACCCCACAGGUGCUUGUCCCUGGGGAAGUAGAGCAGUGGAGGCUUGCAGAGGGAAAAAGAGUAAGCACCCUCUCCCUCCAUGGGAUUCUUAAAGCUGAGGCCACAUAGCUCCUCAGUGCUUCACUUUGUGAAGUCUGAUCAGAUUCCUAGAUCUUUCUGAGCCGGGUCGGCCUUAAGGAUUUAUUUAUUCUUAUUGAAGAGUCAGAUUUGCAGAG